rnacentral:lncRNA from 1 species
UUAAUAUUAGGUCUUCGGAUAAAGCGUUAUAAAUUGCGUUGCGGUAAUCAACGGUUCAGGCAAGUUUGUUCUUACUUAACUCUAAUAAGAGUGUUUUAUUCAAGCUUAUGGUUAAUCAUUGCUGAUUGCCAUGAAAAUUGUACUAUGUACAUCUUGCAUGUAUAAGUCAGGUAUGAAAGGAUGAUCACCUUCAUUACCAGUUGGUUCAGAAAUGUUUGUUCAUGUUUAAAACUUGUUCAGUCAAAAAUUUGUUCGUGCUAGAUCUCAAUUAUAUUGAUGAAUUAUAGCAAGCCCAUUAUUCAUACUCUUCAAUCAUGAUAUAUCCUUAUAUUGUUAUAUUUAAAUUUGCU